rnacentral:rRNA from 1 species
GGAUUGGCACAUCGGUCGUGCCUUAAGGGGCAUGAACUGGUGUAGCCAAUUUCUCACCUUCUGGAGAACCGCGAUGUCCUUAAUUGGGUGCCGCGAGGAACCAGGACCUUUACUUUGAAAAAAUUAGAGUGUUUAAAGCAGGCUAACGCUUGAAUACAUUAGCAUGGAAUAAUGAAAUAGGACGUUCGAUCUUAUUUUGUUGGUUUCUAAGAUUGACGUA